rnacentral:misc_RNA from 1 species
UGUAGGAGUGAGCCUGCUCGCGAUGGCGGUGUGUCAGUCACAUCAUCGUUGAAUGUGCAGACGCUAUCGCGAGCAGGCUCACUCCUACA